GCAAGUCGAACGGUAACAGAGAAUAGCUUGCUAAUUCGCUGACGAGCGGCGGACGGGUGAGUAAUGCCUGGGAAUAUGCCUUAGUGUGGGGGAUAACUAUUGGAAACGAUAGCUAAUACCGCAUAACGUCUUCGGACCAAAGGGGGGGAUCUUCGGACCUCUCGCCAUUUGAUUAGCCCAAGUGAGAUUAGCUAGUUGGUAAGGUAAUGGCUUACCAAGGCGACGAUCUCUAGCUGGUUUGAGAGGAUGAUC
rnacentral:rRNA from 1 species